UGGGGAAUAUUGCACAAUGGGCGCAAGCCUGAUGCAGCCAUGCCGCGUGUGUGAAGAAGGCCUUCGGGUUGUAAAGCACUUUCAGCGAGGAGGAAGGUGGUGAGCUUAAUACGCUCAUCAAUUGACGUUACUCGCAGAAGAAGCACCGGCUAACUCCGUGCCAGCAGCCGCGGUAAUACGGAGGGUGCAAGCGUUAAUCGGAAUUACUGGGCGUAAAGCGCACGCAGGCGGUUUGUUAAGUCAGAUGUGAAAUCCCCGGGCUCAACCUGGGAACUGCAUUUGAAACUGGCAAGCUAGAGUCUCGUAGAGGGGGGUAGAAUUCCAGGUGUAGCGGUGAAAUGCGUAGAGAUCUGGAGGAAUACCGGUGGCGAAGGCGGCCCCCUGGACGAAGACUGACGCUCAGGUGCGAAAGCGUGGGGAGCAAACAGGAUUAGAUACCCCUGGUAGUCCACGCUGUAAAACGAUGUCGAUUUUGGAGGUUGUGCCCUUGAGGCGUGGCUUCCGGAGCUAACGCGUUAAAUCGACCGCCUGGGGAGUACGGCCGCAAGGUUAAAACUUAAAUGAAUUGACGGGGUCAUAGCUGUUUCCU
rnacentral:rRNA from 1 species